ACAUACCUCACUUGCCUGUGGUCCAGUUUGGAUAGUCCCAGCACAGCUUUACAGGAAUAGGCCCCAAACCGAACUUCCAAGGAGGAAGGAUCUGAUCGGCUCAGCUUGGAUGAGGAAGCGGAGGGAGAGUGGACUGGAAGGAACUUGACCCAGGAUGCUGAGUAAGCAGAGCUGUGAAUAUUUGAGUUCAAGCAGUUGGGCUCCCAAAGCCGGUGAUGUUAACCCUAAGCACCUUGUCAUCAUUAUAAUAGUAAUACUUCAUUUCUAGCUA